AGAAGCACAUCAAGGUCAUGAAAUGGCCUAGCCAGUAAGUAAGCAACUACAAGUUGUCCAUCUAACUGCUGUGCCCCGAUUGAAUUGAAUUCAAAAUUAGGUCACUUUUAAUACAAAUAGAUGUGGGUACAUGAGAGACAAGGGUGAAACUAGAAGUUUUUGAAUGUGACUAGACAACAUUACAAAAUAUUUGACUUUUUAGUCUGUAAAUAGACCAGCGCGGUAUUUCUGAUGUUACCAAAAUAAUGACAUUGAUAGUCACAGGAAUAAGAAUGGACUUGAAAGCAUAUUCACAAAGGCCCAGGGCCAGGCAAGUGUCUGUCAUUCAAUUAGGAUCAGCACCUGACGGGUGGAGCGACGGCAGCUGCCUGCAAUCAUCAUCAACAGCCUACAUAAGCCAGCCAGAGCUCCACCACAUCGCUGGAUCGUCUCUUUCAGUUCACUGAUCUUGCCUACGCCUCUCGUUAUUGGUACCUUUGGCCGGAAUCUUCACGCCAGACUCCACAGCCUUGUGAACAAUAAACUGCUGCUACAAUAAACUCUCUCGUGCCUGUUUUGAGGGUUCUCAACCCACGAUCAUAACAAAUUUCCCUUCUGUCUACUUUUGUCAAAGUUUUAAAACUAUUUCAUCAUUUAAAGAUAGAUUCAAGACAAGAUUCUGCCGAUUUAGGAGUAUUUUAGAUAAAAAGUUAAUUAGGUUCGCUACAACAGAGCCUUCUAGAGAGGUCUACUGCUUUAAGAUGGCAGCUGUUUACUUACGCCGCAAUUAUGAUUGAAUAUCUCCUGGAAUGUAUUACAAUUGAACUCCUAAUCCCCAAUUGUAAAAACACAAUUAUCUGCUGUGUCUACCGAGCUCCUGAUUCAAAUGUCUAGUAUAUGGAAAAGAUACUGUAUAAAACGAAUAAUAAGCAAGUUUUCGUUGUGGAGACGUUAAUCUUGGGAUAAAAUAUGUACAGCAUGUUGUUUGAUUUUCUCAUACAUUCAUGUCUGACGAAACUGUUACAGUGACCUUGUGUGCGCCAAUUGUUGCCACCAUGUACACCUCAUCAAUGUAUCCUUUUAAGAGACUUAUAAGAAAAGCAUUUUGAGUUGCUACUCACACCAGCUGUGAUAACAUGUCACACACAUAGCCACAACAAAAUGUUCCACAGCAAACAGAUGCAAAAAUCUCAGGGACAUGACAAAGUCAUAACCUUGUACGCCCUAAAAUAAAUCGAGCUGCUUGACUGGACGCUUAGUUACUAAACCCAGAUUGUUGACUGUGUUAUUCUACAGUUUUGAUGUAUGUACCAUGCCUGAAUGUGCGUCUUUAGUUGUAUGGGGACAGGAAACUGAUAAGCAUAUGCUUCAUCUCGUCCGCCUUUGUCGUCUUCUUCGGUUCCUUCGGGCAAAUCAUAUCACAUUUUGUAAUUGUCAAUG